rnacentral:rRNA from 1 species
AUUGAACGCUGGCGGCAUGCCUUACACAUGCAAGUCGAACGGUAACAGGUCUUCGGAUGCUGACGAGUGGCGAACGGGUGAGUAAUACAUCGGAACGUGCCUAGUAGUGGGGGAUAACUACUCGAAAGAGUGGCUAAUACCGCAUGAGAUCUACGGAUGAAAGCAGGGGAUCGCAAGACCUUGUGCUACUAGAGCGGCCGAUGGCAGAUUAGGUAGUUGGUGGGAUAAAAGCUUACCAAGCCGACGAUCUGUAGCUGGUCUGAGAGGACGAUCCGCCACACGGGGACUGAGACACGGCCCAGACUCCUACGGGAGGCAGCAGUGGGGAAUUUUGGGCAAUGGGCGCAAGCCUGAUCCAGCAAUGCCGCGUUCAGGAUGAAGGCCUUCGGGUUGUAAACUGCUUUUGUACGGAACGAAAAGCCCUGGGUUAAUACCCUGGGGUCAUGACGGUACCGUAAGAAUAAGCACCGGCUAACUACGUGCCAGCCGCCGCGGUAACAC